rnacentral:lncRNA from 1 species
CCAGCCCUAGCCCCAGUCCCAGUCCUAGUUCCUCAGUCCCGCCCAGCUUCUCUCGAAAGUCACUCUAAUUUUCAUUGAUUCAGUGCUCAAAAUAAGUUGUCCAUUGCUUAUCCUAUUAUACUGGGAUAUUCCGUUUACCCUUGGCAUUGCUGAUCUUCAGUACUGACUCCUUGACCAUUUUCAGUUAAUGCAUACAAUCCCAUUUGUCUGUGAUCUCAGGACAAAGAAUUUCCUUACUCGGUACGUUGAAGUUAGGGAAUGUCAAUUGAGAGCUUUCUAUCAGAGCAUUAUUGCCCACAAUUUGAGUUACUUAUCAUUUUCUCGAUCCCCUGCCCUUAAAGGAGAAACCAUUUCUCUGUCAUUGCUUCUGUAGUCACAGUCCCAAUUUUGAGUAGUGAUCUUUUCUUGUGUACUGUGUUGGCCACCUAAAACUCUUUGCAUUGAGUAAAAUUCUAAUUGCCAAUAAUCCUACCCAUUGGAUUAGACAGCACUCUGAACCCCAUUUGCAUUCAGCAGGGGGUCGCAGACAACCCGUCUUUUGUUGGACAGUUAAAAUGCUCAGUCCCAAUUGUCAUAGCUUUGCCUAUUAAACAAAGGCACCCUACUGCGCUUUUUGCUGUGCUUCUGGAGAAUCCUGCUGUUCUUGGACAAUUAAAGAACAAAGUAGUAAUUGCUAAUUGUCUCACCCAUUAAUCAUGAAGACUACCAGUCGCCCUUGCAUUUGCCUUGAGGCAGCGCUGACUACCUGAGAUUUAAGAGUUUCUUAAAUUAUUGAGUAAAAUCCCAAUUAUCCAUAGUUCUGUUAGUUACACUAUGGCCUUUGCAAACAUCUUUGCAUAACAGCAGUGGGACUGACUCAUUCUUAGAGCCCCUUCCCUUGGAAUAUUAAUGGAUACAAUAGUAAUUAUUCAUGGUUCUGCGUAACAGAGAAGACCCACUUAUGUGUAUGCCUUUAUCAUUGCUCCUAGAUAGUGUGAACUACCUACCACCUUGCAUUAAUAUGUAAAACACUAAUUGCCCAUAGUCCCACUCAUUAGUCUAGGAUGUCCUCUUUGCCAUUGCUGCUGAGUUCUGACUACCCAAGUUUCCUUCUCUUAAACAGUUGAUAUGCAUAAUUGCAUAUAUUCAUGGUUCUGUGCAAUAAAAAUGGAUUCUCACCCCAUCCCACCUUCUGUGGGAUGUUGCUAACGAGUGCAGAUUAUUCAAUAACAGCUCUUGAACAGUUAAUUUGCACAGUUGCAAUUGUCCAGAGUCCUGUCCAUUAGAAAGGGACUCUGUAUCCUAUUUGCACGCUACAAUGUGGGCUGAUCACCCAAGGACUCUUCUUGUGCAUUGAUGUUCAUAAUUGUAUUUGUCCACGAUCUUGUGCACUAACCCUUCCACUCCCUUUGUAUUCCAGCAGGGGACCCUUACUACUCAAGACCUCUGUACUAGGACAGUUUAUGUGCACAAUCCUAAUUGAUUAGAACUGAGUCUUUUAUAUCAAGGUCCCUGCAUCAUCUUUGCUUUACAUCAAGAGGGUGCUGGUUACCUAAUGCCCCUCCUCCAGAAAUUAUUGAUGUGCAAAAUGCAAUUUCCCUAUCUGCUGUUAGUCUGGGGUCUCAUCCCCUCAUAUUCCUUUUGUCUUACAGCAGGGGGUACUUGGGACUGUUAAUGCGCAUAAUUGCAAUUAUGGUCUUUUCCAUUAAAUUAAGAUCCCAACUGCUCACACCCUCUUAGCAUUACAGUAGAGGGUGCUAAUCACAAGGACAUUUCUUUUGUACUGUUAAUGUGCUACUUGCAUUUGUCCCUCUUCCUGUGCACUAAAGACCCCACUCACUUCCCUAGUGUUCAGCAGUGGAUGACCUCUAGUCAAGACCUUUGCACUAGGAUAGUUAAUGUGAACCAUGGCAACUGAUCACAACAAUGUCUUUCAGAUCAGAUCCAUUUUAUCCUCCUUGUUUUACAGCAAGGGAUAUUAAUUACCUAUGUUACCUUUCCCUGGGACUAUGAAUGUGCAAAAUUCCAAUGUUCAUGGUCUCUCCCUUUAAACCUAUAUUCUACCCCUUUUACAUUAUAGAAAGGGAUGCUGGAAACCCAGAGUCCUUCUCUUGGGACUCUUAAUGUGUAUUUCUAAUUAUCCAUGACUCUUAAUGUGCAUAUUUUCAAUUGCCUAAUUGAUUUCAAUUGUCUAAGACAUUUCAAAUGUCUAAUUGAUUAGAACUGAGUCUUUUAUAUCAAGCUAAUAUCUAGCUUUUAUAUCAAGCUAAUAUCUUGACUUCUCAGCAUCAUAGAAGGGGGUACUGAUUUCCUAAAGUCUUUCUUGAAUUUCUAUUAUGCAAAAUUGCCCUGAGGCCGGGUGUGGUGGCUCACACCUGUAAUCCCAGCACUUUGGGAGGCUGAGGUGGGAAGAUCCCUUACUGCCAGGAGUUUGAGACCAGCCUGGCCAACAUUAAAAAAAAAAAAAAGUAAGACAAUUGCCCUGGAAUCCCAUCCCCCUCACACCUCCUUGGCAAAGCAGCAGGAGUGCUAACUAGCUAGUGCUUCUUCUCUUAUACUGCUUAAAUGCGCAUAAUUAGCAGUAGUUGAUGUGCCCCUAUGUUAGAGUAGAAUCCCGCUUCCUUGCUCCAUUUGCAUUACUGCAGGAGCUUCUAACUAGCCUGAAUUCACUCUCUUGGACUGUUAAUGUGCAUACUUAUAUUUGCUGCUGUACUUUUUUACCAUGUAAGGACCCCACCCACUGUAUUUACAUCCCAGCUGGAAGUACCUACUACUUAAGACCCUUAGACUAGUAAAGUUAGCGUGCAUAAUCUUAGGUGUUAUAUACACAUUUUCAGUUGCAUACAGUUGUGCCUUUUAUCAGGACUCCUGUACUUAUCAAAGCAGAGAGUGCUAAUCAAUAUUAAGCCCUUCUCUUCGAACUGUAGAUGGCAUGUAAUUGCAGUUGUCAAUGGUCCUUCAAUUAGACUUGGGUUUCUGACCUAUCACACCCUCUUUGCUUUAUUGCAUGGGGUACUAUUCACUUAAGGCCCCUUUCUCAAACUGUUAAUGUGCCUAAUGACAAUUACAUCAGUAUCCUUCCUUUUGAAGGACAGCAUGGUUGGUGACACCUAAGGCCCCAUUUCUUGGCCUCCCAAUAUGUGUGAUUGUAUUUGUCGAGGUUGCUAUGCACUAGAGAAGGAAAGUGCUCCCCUCAUCCCCACUUUUCCCUUCCAGCAGGAAGUGCCCACCCCAUAAGACCCUUUUAUUUGGAGAGUCUAGGUGCACAAUUGUAAGUGACCACAAGCAUGCAUCUUGGACAUUUAUGUGCGUAAUCGCACACUGCUCAUUCCAUGUGAAUAAGGUCCUACUCUCCGACCCCUUUUGCAAUACAGAAGGGUUGCUGAUAACGCAGUCCCCUUUUCUUGGCAUGUUGUGUGUGAUUAUAAUCGUCUGGGAUCCUAUGCACUAGAAAAGGAGGGUCCUCUCCACAUACCUCAGUCUCACCUUUCCCUUCCAGCAGGGAGUGCCCACUCCAUAAGACUCUCACAUUUGGACAGUCAAGGUGCGUAAUUGUUAAGUGAACACAACCAUGCACCUUAGACAUGGAUUUGCAUAACUACACACAGCUCAACCUAUCUGAAUAAAAUCCUACUCUCAGACCCCUUUUGCAGUACAGCAGGGGUGCUGAUCACCAAGGCCCUUUUUCCUGGCCUGGUAUGCGUGUGAUUAUGUUUGUCCCGGUUCCUGUGUAUUAGACAUGGAAGCCUCCCCUGCCACACUCCACCCCCAAUCUUCCUUUCCCUUCCGGCAGGGAGUGCCCUCUCCAUAAGACGCUUACGUUUGGACAAUCAAGGUGCACAGUUGUAAGUGACCACAGGCAUACACCUUGGACAUUAAUGUGCAUAACCACUUUGCCCAUUCCAUCUGAAUAAGGUCCUACUCUCAGACCCCUUUUGCAGUACAGCAGGGGUGCUGAUCACCAAGGCCCCUUUUCUUGGCCUGUUAUGUGCGUGAUUAUAUUUGUCUGGGUUCCUGUGUAUUAGACAAGGAAGCCUUCCCCCCGCCCCCACCCCCACUCCCAGUCUUCCUUUCCCUUCCAGCAGGGAGUGCCCCCUCCAUAAGAUCAUUACAUUUGGACAAUCAAGGUGCACAAUUAUAAGUGACCACAGCCAUGCACCUUGGACAUUAUUGGACAUUAAUGUGCGUAACUGCACAUGGCCCAUCCCAUCUGAAUAAGGUCCUACUCUCAGAUGCCCUUUGCAGUACAGCAGGGGUACUGAAUCACCAAGGCCCUUUUUCUUGGCCUGUUAUGUGUGUGAUUAUAUUUAUCCCAGUUUCUGUGUAAUAGACAUGAAAGCCUCCCCUGCCACACCCCACCUCCAAUCUUCCUUUCCCUUCCACCAGGGAGUGUCCACUCCAUAUACCCUUACAUUUGGACAAUCAAGGUGCACAAUUGUAAGUGAGCAUAGGCACUCACCUUGGACAUGAAUGUGCAUAACUGCACAUGGCCCAUCCCAUCUGAAUAAGGUCCUACUCUCAGACCCUUUUUGCAGUACAGCAGGGGUGCUGAUCACCAAGGCCCCUUUUCCUGGCCUGUUAUGUGUGUGAUUAUAUUUGUUCCAGUUCCUGUGUAAUAGACAUGGAAGCCUCCCCUGCCACACUCCACCCCCAAUCUUCCUUUCCCUUCUGGCAGGAAGUACCCGCUCCAUAAGACCCUUACAUUUGGACAGUCAAGGUGCACAAUUGUAUGUGACCACAACCAUGCACCUUGGACAUAAAUGUGUGUAACUGCACAUGGCCCAUCCCAUCUGAAUAAGGUCCUACUCUCAGACCCCUUUUGCAGUACAGUAGGUGUGCUGAUAACCAAGGCCCCUCUUCCUGGCCUGUUAACGUAUGUGAUUAUAUUUGUCUGGGUUCCAGUGUAUAAGACAUGGAAGCCUCCCCUGCCCCACCCCACCCUCAAUCUUCCUUUCCCUUCUGGCAGGGAGUGCCAGCUCCAUAAGAACCUUACAUUUGGACAGUCAAGGUGCACAAUUCUAAGUGACCGCAGCCAUGCACCUUGGUCAAUAAUGUGUGUAACUGCACACGGCCUAUCUCAUCUGAAUAAGGCCUUACUCUCAGACCCCUUUUGCAGUACAGCAGGGGUGCUGAUAACCAAGGCCCAUUUUCCUGGCCUGUUAUGUGUGUGAUUAUAUUUGUCCAGGUUUCUGUGUACUAGACAAGGAAGCCUCCUCUGCCCCAUCCCAUCUACGCAUAAUCUUUCUUUUCCUCCCAGCAGGGAGUGCUCACUCCAUAAGACCCUUACAUUUGGACAAUCAAGGUGCACAAUUGUAAGUGACCACAACCAUGCAUCUUGGAAAUUUAUGUGCAUAACUGCACAUGGCUUAUCCUAUUUGAAUAAAGUCCUACUCUCAGACCCCCUUUGCAGUAUAGCUGGGGUGCUGAUCACUGAGGCCUCUUUGCUUGGCUUGUCUAUAUUCUUGUGUACUAGAUAAGGGCACCUUCUCAUGGACUCCCUUUGCUUUUCAACAAGGAGUACCCACUACUUUUUAAGAUUCUUAUAUUUGUCCAAAGUACAUGGUUUUAAUUGACCACAACAAUGUCCCUUGGACAUUAAUGUAUGUAAUCACCACAUGGUUCAUCCUAAUUAAACAAAGUUCUACCUUCUCACCCUCCAUUUGCAGUAUACCAGGGUUGCUGACCCCCUAAGUCCCCUUUUCUUGGCUUGUUGACAUGCAUAAUUGCAUUUAUGUUGGUUCUUGUGCCCUAGACAAGGAUGCCCCACCUCUUUUCAAUAGUGGGUGCCCACUCCUUAUGAUCUUUACAUUUGAACAGUUAAUGUGAAUAAUUGCAGUUGUCCACAACCCUAUCACUUCUAGGACCAUUAUACCUCUUUUGCAUUACUGUGGGGUAUACUGUUUCCCUCCAAGGCCCCUUCUGGUGGACUAUCAACAUAUAAUUGAAAUUUUCUUUUGUCUUUGUCAGUAGAUUAAGGUCAUACCCCAUCACCUUUCCUUUGUAGUACAACAGGGUGUCCUGAUCAACCAAAGUCCUGUUGUUUUGGACUGUUAAUAUGUGCAAUUACAUUUGCUCCUGAUCUGUGCACUAGAUAAGGAUCCUACCUACUUUCUUAGUGUUUUUAGCAGGUAGUGCCCACUACUCAAGACUGUCACUUGGAAUGUUCAUGUGCACAAACUCAAUUCUCUAAGCAUGUUCCUGUACCACCUUUGCUUUAGAGCAGGGGGAUGAUAUUCACUAAGUGCCCCUUCUUUUGGACUUAAUAUGCAUUAAUGCAAUUGUCCACCUCUUCUUUUAGACUAAGAGUUGAUCUCCACAUAUUCCCCUUGCAUCAGGGGCAUGUUAAUUAUGAAUGAACCCUUUUCUUUUAAUAUUAAUGUCAUAAUUGUAUUUGUGGACCUGUGUAGGAGAAAAAGACCCUAUGUUCCUCCCAUUACCCUUUGGAUUGCUGCUGAGAAGUGUUAACUACUCAUAAUCUCAGCUCUUGGACAAUUAAUAGCAUUAAUAACAAUUAUCAAGGGCACUGAUCAUUAGAUAAGACUCCUGCUUCCUCGUUGCUUACAUCGGGGGUACUGACCCACUAAGGCCCCUUGUACUGUUAAUGUGAAUAUUUGCAAUUAUAUAUGUCUCCUUCUGGUAGAGUGGGAUAUUAUGCCCUAGUAUCCCCUUUGCAUUACUGCAGGGGCUGCUGACUACUCAAAACUUCUCCUGGGACUGUUAAUAGGCACAAUGGCAGUUAUCAAUGGUUUUCUCCCUCCCUGACCUUGUUAAGCAAGCGCCCCACCCCACCCUUAGUUUCCCAUGGCAUAAUAAAGUAUAAGCAUUGGAGUAUUCCAUGCACUUGUCUAUCAAACAGUGGUCCAUACUCCCAACCCUUUUGCAUUGCGCCAGUGUGUAAAAUCACAGGUAGCCAUGGUGUCAUGCUUUAUAUACGAAGUCUUCCCUCUCUCUGCCCCUUGUGUGCCCUUGGCCCCUUUUUACAGACUAUUGCUCACAAUCUCAGGUGUCCAUAUUUGCAGCUAUUAGGUAAGAUUGUGCUGUCUCCCUCUUCCCUUCCCUCUGCCCUGCCCCUUUUGCCUCUUUGCUGGGUAAUGUUGACCAGACAAGGCCCUUUCUCUUGGACUUAAACAAUUCUCAGUUGCACUUUCCUUGGUCCCACCCAUUAUACAUGAACCCCUCUACUUCCUUUCGCAUUGCUUCUGAGUAUGCUGACUACCCAAAGCCCCUUCUGUGUUAUUAAUAAACACAGUACUGAUUGUCCCAUUUUUCAGCCCAUCAGUCCAAGAUCUCCCUACCACUUUGGUGUGUUGGUGCAGUGUUGACUAUGAAAAGCAGGCCUGAACUAGGUGGAUAAGCCUUCACUCAUUUUCUUUCAUUUAUUAAUGAUCCUAGUUUCAAUUAUUGUCAGAUUCUGGGGACAAGAACCAUUCUUGCCCACCUGUGUUACUGCUUUACUGUGCAAAAUACUGAAGGCAAGUCAGACCCAGGGAGCUGGAUUGCCAUCCUUUAUUUUGUGUUUCCAGUGUACACUAUAAAAUUGUCUCCCCAGGAAGGAAGGUUGGCACUUUCUCUGCAUUCUUCUUUCCAGAGCAGAUUGCCUGGUUAAGAAUCUCUUGUUGUCCCCUUUGUAUAUUGUUAUUGUAAAGUGCCAAAUGCCAGGAUACAGCCAGAAAAAUUGCUUAUUAUUAUUAAAAAAAUUUUUUUAAGAAAGACAUCUGGAUUGUAGGGUGGACUCGAUAACCUGGUCAUUAUUUUUUUGAAGCCAAAAUAUCCAUUUAUACUAUGUACCUGGUGACCAGUGUCUCUCAUUUUAACUGAGGGUGGUGGGUCUGUGGAUAGAACACUGACUCUUGCUAUUUUAAUAUCAAAGAUAUUCUAGAGUGGAACUCUUAAGACCAGUAUCUUUGUGUGGGCUUUACCAGCAUUCACUUUUAGAAAAACUACCUAAAUUUUAUAAUCCUUUAAUUUCUUCAUCUGGAGCACCUGCCCCUACUUAUUUCAAGAAGAUUGCAGUAAAACGAUUAAAUGAGGGAACAUAUGCAGAGGUGCUUUUAAAAAGCAUAUGCCACCUUUUUUAUUAAUUAUUAUAUAAAAUGAAGCAUUUAAUUAUAGUAAUAAUUUGAAGUAGUUUGAAGUACCACACUGAGGUGAGGACUUAAAAAUGAUAAGACGAGUUCCCUAUUUUAUAAGAAAAAUAAGCCAAAAUUAAAUAUUCUUUUGGAUAUAAAUUUCAACAGUGAGAUAGCUGCCUAGUGGAAAUGAAUAAUAUCCCAGCCACUAGUGUACAGGGUGUUUUGUGGCACAGGAUUAUGUAAUAUGGAACUGCUCAAGCAAAUAACUAGUCAUCACAACAGCAGUUCUUUGUAAUAACUGAAAAAGAAUAUUGUUUCUCGGAGAAGGAUGUCAAAAGAUCGGCCCAGCUCAGGGAGCAGUUUGCCCUACUAGCUCCUCGGACAGCUGUAAAGAAGAGUCUCUGGCUCUUUAGAAUACUGAUCCCAUUGAAGAUACCACGCUGCAUGUGUCCUUAGUAGUCAUGUCUCCUUAGGCUCCUCUUGAUCUUCCUCAGAAGAAUAGGCUUGUUGUUUUACAGUGUUAGUGAUCCAUUCCCUUUGACGAUCCCUAGGUGGAGAUGGGGCAUGAGGAUCCUCCAGGGGAAAAGCUCACUACCACUGGGCAACAACCCUAGGUCAGGAGGUUCUGUCAAGAUACUUUCCUGGUCCCAGAUAGGAAGAUAAAGUCUCAAAAACAACCACCACACGUCAAGCUCUUCAUUGUUCCUAUCUGCCAAAUCAUUAUACUUCCUACAAGCAGUGCAGAGAGCUGAGUCUUCAGCAGGUCCAAGAAAUUUGAACACACUGAAGGAAGUCAGCCUUCCCACCUGAAGAUCAACAUGCCUGGCACUCUAGCACUUGAGGAUAGCUGAAUGAAUGUGUCUUACCCAUUUCCAUGUUUCUCUUGCUAAUUUCUUUCGUGUGUGCCUUUGCCUCAUUUUCUCUUUUUGUUCACAAGAGUGGUCUGUGUCUUGUCUUAGACAUAUCUCUCAUUUUUCAUUUUGUUGCUAUUUCUCUUUGCUCUCCUAGAUGUGGCUCUUCUUUCACGCUUUAUUUCAUGUCUCCUUUUUGGGUCACAUGCUGUGUGCUUUUUGUCCUUUUCUUGUUCUGUCUACCUCUCCUUUCUCUGCCUACCUCUCUUUUCUCUUUGUGAACUGUGAUUAUUUGUUACCCCUUCCCCUUCUCGUUCGUUUUAAAUUUCACCUUUUUUCUGAGUCUGGCCUCCUUUCUGCUGUUUCUACUUUUUAUCUCACAUUUCUCAUUUCUGCAUUUCCUUUCUGCCUCUCUUGGGCUAUUCUCUCUCUCCUCCCCUGCGUGCCUCAGCAUCUCUUGCUGUUUGUGAUUUUCUAUUUCAGUAUUAAUCUCUGUUGGCUUGUAUUUGUUCUCUGCUUCUUCCCUUUCUACUCACCUUUGAGUAUUUCAGCCUCUUCAUGAAUCUAUCUCCCUCUCUUUGAUUUCAUGUAAUCUCUCCUUAAAUAUUUCUUUGCAUAUGUGGGCAAGUGUACGUGUGUGUGUGUCAUGUGUGGCAGAGGGGCUUCCUAACCCCUGCCUGAUAGGUGCAGAACGUCGGCUAUCAGAGCAAGCAUUGUGGAGCGGUUCCUUAUGCCAGGCUGCCAUGUGAGAUGAUCCAAGACCAAAACAAGGCCCUAGACUGCAGUAAAACCCAGAACUCAAGUAGGGCAGAAGGUGGAAGGCUCAUAUGGAUAGAAGGCCCAAAGUAUAAGACAGAUGGUUUGAGACUUGAGACCCGAGGACUAAGAUGGAAAGCCCAUGUUCCAAGAUAGAUAGAAGCCUCAGGCCUGAAACCAACAAAAGCCUCAAGAGCCAAGAAAACAGAGGGUGGCCUGAAUUGGACCGAAGGCCUGAGUUGGAUGGAAGUCUCAAGGCUUGAGUUAGAAGUCUUAAGACCUGGGACAGGACACAUGGAAGGCCUAAGAACUGAGACUUGUGACACAAGGCCAACGACCUAAGAUUAGCCCAGGGUUGUAGCUGGAAGACCUACAACCCAAGGAUGGAAGGCCCCUGUCACAAAGCCUACCUAGAUGGAUAGAGGACCCAAGCGAAAAAGUUUCUGGCAUCACUACCACUACUGAUUAAACAAGAAUAAGAGAACAUUUUAUCAUCAUCUGCUUUAUUCACAUAAAUGAAGUUGUGAUGAAUAAAUCUGCUUUUAUGCAGACACAAGGAAUUAAGUGGCUUCGUCAUUGUCCUUCUACCUCAAAGAUAAUUUAUUCCAAAAGCUAAGAUAAAUGGAAGACUCUUGAACUUGUGAACUGAUGUGAAAUGCAGAAUCUCUUUUGAGUCUUUGCUGUUUGGAAGAUUGAAAAAUAUUGUUCAGCAUGGGUGACCACCAGAAAGUAAUCUUAAGCCAUCUAGAUGUCACAAUUGAAACAAACUGGGGAGUUGGUUGCUAUUGUAAAAUAAAAUAUACUGUUUUGAAAACUUUGUAUUUUGAUGUGACAAUUUCUAACUCACUGUCCCUAA